CUGCCUUGCAGUUGGCACACUCUCUGCUUUAAGCACUGCACAAGUUUAAAAAUGUGGCCGUCAACGACGAUGGCUGUAUUUCCCGAGAUAACGGGACCUGGACAAAGGCGUCCUCGCUAGGUGACUGGCGGGACGCC
rnacentral:sRNA from 1 species